rnacentral:rRNA from 1 species
AGUGAACGCUGGCGGUAGGCCUAACACAUGCAAGUCGAACGGCAGCACAGUAAGAGCUUGCUCUUACGGGUGGCGAGUGGCGGACGGGUGAGGAAUACAUCGGAAUCUACUUUUUCGUGGGGGAUAACGUAGGGAAACUUACGCUAAUACCGCAUACGACCUACGGGUGAAAGCAGGGGAUCUUCGGACCUUGCGCGAUUGAAUGAGCCGAUGUCGGAUUAGCUAGUUGGCGGGGUAAAGGCCCACCAAGGCGACGAUCCGUAGCUGGUCUGAGAGGAUGAUCCGCCACGCUGGAACUGAGACACGGUCCAGACUCCUACGGGAGGCAGCAGUGGGGAAUAUUGGACAAUGGGCGCAAGCCUGAUCCAGCCAUACCGCGUGGGUGAAGAAGGCCUUCGGGUUGUAAAGCCCUUUUGUUGGGAAAGAAAAGCAGCAGGUUAAUACCCCGCUGUUCUGACGGUACCCAAAGAAUAAGCACCGGCUAACUUCGUG